CCUACGGGAGGCAGCAGUAAGGAAUAUUGGUCAAUGGACGAAAGUCUGAACCAGCCAUGCCGCGUGAAGGAUUAAGGCCCUCUGGGUUGUAAACUUCUUUUAUCUGGGACGAAAAAAGGGUAUUCUUACUCACUUGACGGUACCAGAGGAAUAAGCACCGGCUAACUCCGUGCCAGCAGCCGCGGUAAUACGGAGGGUGCAAGCGUUAUCCGGAUUUACUGGGUUUAAAGGGUGCGUAGGUGGGCUUGUAAGUCAGUGGUGAAAUCUCCGGGCUUAACCCGGAAACUGCCAUUGAUACUAUAGGUCUUGAAUUAUCUGGAGGUAAGCGGAAUAUGUCAUGUAGCGGUGAAAUGCUUAGAUAUGACAUAGAACACCAAUUGCGAAGGCAGCUUACUACGGAUAUAUUGACACUGAGGCACGAAAGCGUGGGGAUCAAACAGGAUUAGAUACCCUGGUAGUCCACGCCCUAAACGAUGGAUACUCGACAUCAGCGAUACACUGUUGGUGUCUGAGNGAAGANAUAUAUACCACCNGAGUAGANCGCAGAUAGAACGUACGAAGAAAGUAGUACGGACGUGAGACGUAGACGACGGACGACGACGAGGGAGGAGG
rnacentral:rRNA from 1 species